rnacentral:SRP_RNA from 16 species
GAAAGGAGCAGCCACCACGAGGUGUGUGGUGUGUGUGUGCUGCCCAAUU